rnacentral:rRNA from 1 species
CCCUUAGAUGUCCUGGGCCGCACGCGCGCUACACUGACGCAGGCAGUAAGUUCCUAGGCUGGAAAGUCCUGGCAACCUCUAAACUGCGUCGUAGUUGGAAUUGACCCUUGCAAUUCUUGGUCAUGAACUAGGAAUUCCUAGUAAGCGCAAGUCAUCAGCUUGCACUGAUUAAGUCCCUGCCCUUUGUACACACCGCCCGUCGCUCCUACCGAUUCCGAGUGAUCAGGUGAACCUUUCGGACUGCAAAGGAAGUUAAGUAAACCUUAUCACUUAGAGGAAGGAGAANUCGUAACA